rnacentral:rRNA from 1 species
AAAUUGAAGAGUUUGAUCAUGGCUCAGAUUGAACGCUGGCGGCAGGCCUAACACAUGCAAGUCGAACGGUAACAGGAAGCAGCUUGCUGCUUCGCUGACGAGUGGCGGACGGGUGAGUAAUGUCUGGGAAACUGCCUGAUGGAGGGGGAUAACUACUGGAAACGGUAGCUAAUACCGCAUAAUGUCGCAAGACCAAAGAGGGGGACCUUCGGGCCUCUUGCCAUCGGAUGUGCCCAGAUGGGAUUAGCUUGUUGGUGGGGUAACGGCUCACCAAGGCGACGAUCCCUAGCUGGUCUGAGAGGAUGACCAGCCACACUGGAACUGAGACACGGUCCAGACUCCUACGGGAGGCAGCAGUGGGGAAUAUUG